rnacentral:tRNA from 1 species
UGCGGGGUGGAGCAGUCUGGCAGCUCGUCGGGCUCAUAACCCGAAGGUCGUAGGUUCNNUCCUUGUUUUUCUGUAACCA